CGUAACUAGUAAACCUGCAGAAGACCACGAUCUCCACCUGAUGAUAACUCCCCAGUUCCUCCAGUUCUUCCCACCUCCCUCAACUAUCCUCUUUCUACGAUUAUGGAUGCUAUAAACACAAUCGAUACCUUGAAACCGUAUACACAGAGAAGAUUAUACUUCAGAUAAGAUGGGAUUUGUAAAAGUCAGAUUUGGAAGAAGGAAAUCAUCAAUUUCAUUAUCCUCUGCAGGACAUCAUCGAUUUUAUCUGCACAAGCUGGAAUAUAGAUGACAACCCACAACCUCCGGCAGCAAAAAAGUAAGAGGAGGGGAUAAGUUGAACUUUCGUACAAGGAUGAAAAAGGGCGAGAAAGUACCACUGGAAUUUUGGCAAGGUGCACCAGUUGGACCGAACGCAAAUAAGAUCUCGGCUUAUUGUGGAAAGCUGGCACUAAAUGGAGAAAAUUUCCCUUUUGACAUUCAUGACUGGUCUGAAAUGCCCCAUAAGGAAGCUUGAAGAAGCCAUUGAAGAGAUAAAGAUCAACUUUCGGGUGGAGGAGAAAAUCCAUGAAAAAUGGAAGGCAAACAAACGUAACAUGAGGUUGGAACAUUUCGAUGAGAAUAAGACUGAUGCACAAAACAGAGCUAGUUAUCCAAACGAAGUUAUUGACACUCAGUAGGCAAAUAUGUUGAUAUAUUGGUGUUCACCUGAAUUCAAGAAAAAAAGCAAGAAUGGCAAAGCAAGUAGAAAGCAUUUGGUUGUGCCUCAUCAUGGUGUUACUAAGUCAUUCGUGAACCACGCGAGAUAGAAGAGACAACGCAAAAGAAAACAAGUCUAGCGGCUGUGUAUCGGAAAACCUAUAGAGCCAGAUAAGGGAAAACUUCCAACCCUAAAGCUGAAGCAAAUCUCGUGGCUUUUUAAUACGUUAAUUUGUAUGCUGUUAGAAUUAGUAAAAUUGUUGCAACUUGUUCUCACUUUAACUUUGCAUAUUAUAAUUGCAGGCUCAAAUGGAAGCCUUGGAGAGGGAAGAUUUAGAAGAGAAUGGUUCAGAUAAUGAUGUUUCAAUCUUGGAACUCACUUCUUAUGGCCAGCUGAAAGGAGACAAGUAUUCAAAAUCAUGGGAGCUGAGAAACCUGGUCGGAUUCGUGGUGUUGGUUCGCAAUUAAAGUAACCAAGCUUAGGGGGAAUCUUCUUCAAAUGUUGUCCAAAACAACGAGGAUCAGGUUCAUAUGCAGAAUGAAUCUGAGGUUAAUUUCAUCGAAAGAUAUUAUAUUCAAGGUGUUGGAAGAUAUAUCAUAAUUAACUUUGGAAGUAAGAAAUCCAUCUGUGAUAAUUUAAGUAUUUUGUGUUCAUUCACUUAAAUUUCUCUUGAAACUUUUAUCAGACUCAAAAA